GAUAAGUUUUUUUUUAGUCUUCUAAACUAUUUUUUGGUUUGACCAGCUUAUUU
rnacentral:tRNA from 1 species